rnacentral:rRNA from 1 species
UACGGGAGAGGCAAGCGUUGUUCGGAAUCACUGGGCUUAAAGCGCGUGUAGGCGGCCCGACAAGUACCUUGUGAAAUACCGCGUCUCAACCGCGGAAUGGCUGGGUAUACUGCCGGGCUUGAGGUAGGUAGAGGUGCCUGGAACUCUAGGUGGAGCGGUGAAAUGCGUAGAUAUCUAGAGGAACGCCCGUGGCGAAAGCGGGGCACUGGGCCUGUCCUGACGCUGAGACGCGAAAGCGUGGGGAGCAAACGGG